CUUUACAGGGAAAUUUCUACAGGGCUGGCUAGAAGGAAGAAUAUUCACUCUAAUUCACCCUUUGCAAUGGCUAUGUUCACCUGAGGAUGCCUCAAACCAUGCGCUCUACUGGGAAGUUGUAUGACAUAUACUUCUGCAUCAGAUAUGAGGCGGAGAUCUGCAGGAGGAAGCAACUGAGGAAAGAAAUAUCUGUGGCUGCAAAGGUCAAGAAUGAAACCAAAGUUCCAGCAAGGGAGGCUUUAAACUCAGAUACAAAAGGAAAAAUCUCCAAUCACAGGAUGACUAGGUUCACUCGAAUGAAACCACUAAUAAAUAAAAUGUGCUGAUGCUGAGGGUAGAACUUGGCCGUGUCUAUCCCAGCUUUUCCAACAAAUCUGCAAGACAUGAUGUAAAGUUUUUCCUUUUACUGAUAAAUAGCCUAUUAUCAGCCUAGUGUGAGUGGGACAGACUUCCAGAUUUCUGUAAGGAGUGCUAAAACUCAUAGCCUAAUGGAGGCAAGGCUGCGGUAGCUCUAAGUUCCCAGGUCCAGUAAGUAGCAAGGCUGAGCACAUUGGGCAUACACUGUACACAGACAGAUUCAUACAUGGCUGGCCACACAGAUUAACACAGAUAGAAAUAGUUAGGCAAAUACAGAUGGCACAGAUGGCUUAAUCUUGUUCCCCUCUCUGGCAGCUCAGAAUGAAGGUCCAUAUUGGGAAAUAUGUACACGCAUACAGGCAUACAAUGUGAAUCUCCCCAGUAGUUGGCCUUAAAACAUUCAGGCCUAUUCACUAGCUGUGCUUAUAUCCGUGGUUAUCACAUAACCUAACCACAUGAUCACAUAGAUGUCUACACGAGGCAGUUGUCCAAAUCUCCCUCAUGGCCACCAUGAAUACGCUCAGCCUGGACAAGUAUUGUCAGCCUGGACAAGUAUUCAGGUCACUUUAAAAUAAAUACCUAUGUCCAGCUAAUGUCUUACUAGGC
rnacentral:lncRNA from 1 species